CCGCCCCGGAUGUUGAAGAGGCUAAGGGAGAAGCUUGAGUGGAGAUCUAAUUUGGCUGCAGCUCUAGGAUCCGGAACUGAGUGGUGCAGUCUGCUUUUUUUCCCCCCUUAAUGUGACGAAUUCUGGAUUUAAUGGGGGAAAACGUGAGUGAAAUUCCAGGGGAUAUAACCUGACGAAUCCCCCCAUCUUCACUUCCCCUCUGCCUUACGGCUGGCUGCCGUAUCCAGGGUGUACUUAAUUUUUUCAACUGUCUGCAGCCAUCUUUCUAAACUGUUUAAAUGAGAAUGUCCCUGGCUCAGAGAGUACUGCUCACCUGGCUUUUUACAUUACUGUUCUUGAUCAUGUUGGUCUUGAAACUGGAUGAGAAAGCACCAUGGAACUGGUUCCUUAUAUUCAUACCAGUCUGGAUAUUUGAUACUAUUCUCCUUGUAAUGCUGAUUGUAAAAAUGGCUGGACGAUGCAAAUCUGGUUACAACCAUCGGAAUGGACCGCGUCAUAUGAAAAGAAAGGUCUGGUACUUCAUAGCCAUGUUACUUAAAUUGGCAUUCUGCCUUGCACUCUGUGCUAAACUGGAACAGUUUACUAACAUGAAUCUGUCAUAUGUUUUUAUUCCUUUAUGGGCCUUACUGGUUGGGGCUAUGACAGAACUUGGAUAUAAUGUGUUUUUUGCUCGGAGAGACUAAGUGACCUAACUAUGACUUUUCCCACAAUAGCUUGCCGAAAAGCAAAAAUCAAAAGUAUUCUGGGUAUUUACAAACUUCAAGGCUACCAAGGAACUGAAAAACCAAACCAAAUGCAGUUUUAUACUGUUUCUGUUAGUGUUAAAUCAAGGACUUGAAAACGGCAUGAAAAGUAUUUAUUCUACAUUUGAAUUAUUAUUAGUAUCCUUAUCUUUUCUUAUACUCGUAAAAAUAAAACUUUGUUUUGAACCACACAUUUUAAAAUGACUUCUUUUAAAAAAUCACAAUAUACUUCAGAAAUGUAAUGACCUUUUAAGAAUAGCCACUAAUGCAAAUCUUACAUUGAUUAAUGCUUAUGAACCAAUCUAAGCCUAGUAAUAAGACUUUAAAAUUAUUGAAAAAAAGAAACAAUGAUCUGUGUAUGAGUAGGCGUCUAAUAGGAGCUUGCUUAUAACAAAUAGCAUUUUCUAUGCUGAAUAGUGGGGAAAAUUCUUAGGUAAGUACAAUCAGUAUGUUUUCAUGUUUUCAUUGAUCCUGGCAAAAUUCUGUUACCAUUUAAACCUUUUAAUACAGAUGAAAUUAAAAUUUAGAUUCCUUGCUAAAAGUGAUAUGAUAACGGAGAGGAAUUCUCUCACAAUCACUCCUGAAAAGAAGCAGAAAGGGAAAAAAAGCUUUGGAGCCCCUUGCCAUACAUACACAAUCACCUUGUGGAUUAUUUAAGAAAUUCUUAGUAGAUAAUGAAAACAUCUCAAAAUUUUCAAACUUGGGAACACUUACUUGAAUACAGUAUUAUAGCUUAGAUCUGUCCUUGUUCAGACAUGUACAAUAUAGAAUUUUUUUCUAAAACCACAAAUUGAUAAUUGUGGGUUAGGCUUAUGGAGGCAGUUUAUAAAAAUUUGGCAAAGAAAUACUUAAACAUUAUUCCAGUAAUAAACAUCUCUUUUGUAAUUACUAUAUUAUGAGAUUCUUCAGUAUGUUGGAAAUUGUAUGUGAAGUUUUUACAGACAACUAGGCAGUCACACCUUUCGACUUAUAUGGUCACUACCCUACUUCAGACUCUUUUCAUCUCUGAGGUGCUGUAGUAGUGGCCACCCAAUUGGUUUUCCUGAUUCCAGUCUUUCCAAUCUCCAUUCAGUGCUUCACAGAGUUCUUGCAAUAAUCUUCCUAAGGUACAGCCUGACGUGACAAUCCUCUGCUCAAAAGUUUUUUGUGGUUCCCUAUUACCUCUACAAUAAAAUGCAAACUCUUUAGUCUGACUUCUAAGGGCCUCCAUAAUCUAAGUUCAACCUGCCUUGUUAGUCUUUUUUGCUAUUUCAUCCCUUCACAAGCUUGACAAUCCAGCAAAACGUUUUGUAAGAGCUGUUCCCCAACUUGACAGGAUGGAGCAUGUUGGUCAAUAGCUAUUCUACAAAAUCAAUGUGACAGCAUAACAUUCAACACCCUGGUAAAAGGGAAAGACUAGAGUCAGUAGACCCUUUAGGGUUCAAGUCCAGUUUGCCUAACCUGGCAAAUCAUCAAUCUUUUCCAAGCCUCAGUUUCCUCACCUAUAAAGUAGAGAGAUUACACCAGUUGGAACUCAAAUUCUCUUAUAGUUUUAGAGCCCAUGAUUUAUGAUCUCUGCCCUCUGUGCUUGAAAUGUACUUUCUUUCUCAUCUGGGCCUCUCAGAAUCCAUAUCUUCCUCUAAGAUUCAGCUCAGGUGCCACUUCUAUGAAACAUUACCUGACCCUUCCUACUUGUUUGUGGUUUUUCCUUCCUUGAGUUGUAUUAUAUUUGCUUAUCUGUUUACAAUGUUUUUGUACCUUGCUUUCCUGUAGAAUGUGAACACCUUGAGGAUAGGGAUUGUGUCUUUUUGUUUUAGCCUUUGUAUCCUCAGUGCCUUGUACAUAGUAAAUGCUUAAUAAAUGUUUGUUUGAAUUGACUAAGA